CCUACGGGUGGGCAGCAGUGGGGAAUAUUGGACAAUGGGCGAAAGCCUGAUCCAGCCAUGCCGCGUGUGUGAAGAAGGCCUUCGGGUUGUAAAGCACUUUCAGUGGGGAAGAAAGCCUUGGGGCUAAUACCCUCGAGGAAGGACAUCACCCACAGAAGAAGCACCGGCUAACUCCGUGCCAGCAGCCGCGGUAAUACGGAGGGUGCGAGCGUUAAUCGGAAUUACUGGGCGUAAAGCGCGCGUAGGCGGUCUGAUAAGCCGGUUGUGAAAGCCCCGGGCUCAACCUGGGAACGGCAUCCGGAACUGUCAGGCUAGAGUGCAGGAGAGGAAGGUAGAAUUCCCGGUGUAGCGGUGAAAUGCGUAGAGAUCGGGAGGAAUACCAGUGGCGAAGGCGGCCUUCUGGACUGACACUGACGCUGAGGUGCGAAAGCGUGGGUAGCAAACAGGAUUAGAUACCCUAGUAGUC
rnacentral:rRNA from 1 species